rnacentral:lncRNA from 1 species
GCUACCUCAGCCUGAGAACCUGAACUUGGCCUUACUGAGAAAUGGCGCUUGCUCAGACCUGCUGGGAAUUCAAGGGUCACAACAGUAGCCAGGGGAAUUUCCAGCAAAUGGUUGUUCCAGAAAAAUCUCAGCAGCACCUGGCCUCUCACGAACACCAGCGCCACAAAAGGGGCCAGCACAUCUCCGACUUCCUGUGCAAGAUGCUGUGUGGAAAGACAGCGUUUUUUUUUUUUCGUUAAGAUGCCAAUUUGGGGCUGGCGAGAUGUCUCUGCAGGGAAAGGCGCUUGCCAGGAAGCCUAACGACCCGAGGUCGUGAGCUGGUGGGAGAGAACCAACUCCUGCAAGUCAGCCUCUGACCUCCAUUUUCAGAAACUCCCCGAGGCCAGGCUUUGGGUCCCUUUGAGAUCAUGGGUCACACAUGGGUGGCACACAGCAGGUGCUCCUUCAUGAGAGAUGACUGGAUGAGCUGGUGACCAGAUCAAUUCCUGGG